rnacentral:piRNA from 1 species
UGAACUAGAUACACCAACUAAUAGAGGAU